GACGAACGCUGGCGGCGUGCUUAACACAUGCAAGUCGAACGAGUGGCGAACGGGUGAGUAACACGUGGGUGACCUGCCCUGCACUUCGGGAUAAGCCUGGGAAACUGGGUCUAAUACCGGAUAGUGUGGGAUGGGCCCGCGGCCUAUCAGCUUGUUGGUGGGGUAUUGGCUACCAAGGCGCGACGGGUAGCCGGCCUGAGAGGGUGGACGGCAAAAUUGGGACUGAGCAACGGCCCAGACUCCUACGGGAGGAAGAAGUGGGGAAUAUUGCAAAAUGGGCGGAAGCCGGAUGCGGCGACGCCGCGUGGGGGAGGACGGCCUUAGGGUGGUAAGGUACUUUCAGCGGGGAGGCGUUACCCGCAGAAGAAGCACCGGCUAACUCCGUGCCAGCAGCCGCGGUAAUAC
rnacentral:rRNA from 1 species